AAGAAAAAGCCAAGGGGUCUGAAUACUUUCCGAAUGCACUGUAUGCUACUCUGACAUGUAGAGUAAGGAAUCAUGUCGGCUCUGUUGAUGGCAUUUCUAACCGUUGGACAACUUUCAGUACAUUGCACCAUCCUGUCCUGAACGUGACCCAGGAUAUUGCAUCUGUCACAUGGAGACAGAACACUGUAGAAUCUCUCCACCAGGGGGCAGCCAACCCUUUAUACAUCUAUGUGGUCUGAAAAGCCACAUCUUUUGCACGCUUAUUUUGCGAGAGAGAGAGAGCAAAUAUGUGUCCCACUGCAUUCGGAGUGACAGAGUUGAUCAGAUGUCUGAGUUUUGACAGAGUUUGGGUAUGUGUUGUUAGAUCAAACCUUUUUCUGUAUCCAAAAGGGGUCAUCAAGACUUCUAUAGCCUCCAGAAAUCACUUUUAUCUGGUUUAAGAUGUAGUGGUUAAGCAGUGCCGUUUGUGUAACCUUUUACGACCUUAGUCACCUCUGAUAGAUACUGCUGAAUUGUAGUUUCAUUAGUCUUUGCAUUAAAUGCCCCUGUGACGAACCCCAAGUUGCUUAACAGGAGGACAAAAAGGGAAGAGAAUGGUUUGGAUAGUUUCAGUGGACAUGUCGUUUUUUUCCCUGUUAUGAUGCUGUUCCUAUCACUUUUGCUCUCACUAACAGGUAAAUACUUAUCUUGGAAUUUGCAUUUGUGUAUUUACAGUGUACUAUGUGAAUUAUACAUGAAUAUAUUGUGGGUUAGUACAUUGUCUGUAAAACACGUGAUUGUAUAGUCAGAGGAAUUGUUCGUUAUAGUACAAUCAUGACAAGCCAUUGGUGCUGAAAAACUGUCCAGUAGGAGCCUGCUAAGUCCUGAAUGAGACCGAGGUUACUGGAUACCUGGGUGACACAGUAACCAUCUUCUGUCAUUAUGAAAAAUUCUAUAAGCAUCGUAUUACGGAAUGGUGCAGGGGCAAGAAAAUCGUCAUGUGUGAGCGGCUGGCUGACACCCAAGGUUUCAAGCGGGGAUUCUCCAUGUCACUAUGAGUAACCUCACGGCAGAGGACGAGGACUGGUAUUUGUGUGUUGUAUCCUGGUCCGUCUACAAGGACAUUUACUAUCCAGUUCAUCUCUAUCUCAAACCAGGUCCUAACCAGAGCCAAGGUACAUGGUACUGGUCACUCCUCCUAGCCAGCCAGCCAGCCAGACCGACCAGACACCCCAGUCAAAUGGCCCACAGCAGGACGUGACCGCCGUCUGUCUGCAGCAAAUCAACAGCACGAGCAUCUCAUACAAUGAGAGAGAGACACAAAGACAAAGUGUGUUGCAAUGUUAUUCAGUUCGUUUGUGAUACUGUGUCAUACCACACACACAGAUGACUCACCUUGACAUGACCCUGCUGGGCUGGCCCUCUUGCUCAGACAUGAGAAUGGUUUAUAUGGACGGUCACCAGAUGGAUUCUCUUUGCCAUCCUGCUAGCCUGCACUGUGACUGCUUCAAGCCCUGCACCCUUCACUCCCUGGUUGAGUUGCCCUUACCGAUUGGCUAAUGUCAGGUAUUCUCCUUUCCCCAUAAGAUUAAGGUUUGGAUUGGGGUUAGGGUAAUCUGAUCCUAGAUCUGUGGUUAGAGGCAACUUUUCAAAUUCUUACUACACUGGACAAGGAAAGAACCAGAACCUUGGCCGUGAAUGACCUUUGACCUCCUCUCUUACAGUAUAUGAAUCGUCAGCACAAGCUGGGCAAAGUACUGCCACUGUUUUCCACCUCAGUUUGCUCUGUUUACAGAAUCAACGGCACACUCUGCCAAAGACAAACUGAUAUAGACACUGUGGAUUAUGUCAGCAAGUCCACAGUGGUUACAAAAUAAAUGGAAGAUGUGGUGCUGAAGGCUGGACUAAUCUGUAUAUUGACUUAUUAGGCGUAUGUGACAUUCAGCUUUGUCCAUUCAGACAGAGAAUUUAUUUGAUUGUUGUUGUUGACUUAUGUCAAUUCCACAGCUUGUCAGUUCAACAUAGAGAUAGUGAUCACACUAUGCAACAUAUGCCAAAGCAGACAGCUCUGUGCGCUCGCUCGGUAGGCCUAGAAAUACACCAUAUAUACAAAAGUAUGUGGACACCCCUUCGAAUUAGUGGAUUCGGCUAUUUCAGCCACACCCGUUGCUGA